GACGAACGCUGGCGGCGUGCUUAACACAUGCAAGUCGAACGGAAAGGCCCUGCUUUUGUGGGGUGCUCGAGUGGCGAACGGGUGAGUAACACGUGAGUAACCUGCCCUUGACUUUGGGAUAACUUCAGGAAACUGGGGCUAAUACCGGAUAGGAGCUCCUGCUGCAUGGUGGGGGUUGGAAAGUUUCGGCGGUUGGGGAUGGACUCGCGGCUUAUCAGCUUGUUGGUGGGGUAGUGGCUUACCAAGGCUUUGACGGGUAGCCGGCCUGAGAGGGUGACCGGCCACAUUGGGACUGAGAUACGGCCCAGACUCCUACGGGAGGCAGCAGUGGGGAAUAUUGCACAAUGGGCGGAAGCCCGAUGCAGCAACGCCGCGUGCGGGAUGACGGCCUUCGGGUUGUAAACCGCUUUCGCCUGUGACGAAGCGUGAGUGGCGGUAAUGGGUAAAGAAGCACCGGCUAACUACGUG
rnacentral:rRNA from 1 species